rnacentral:rRNA from 1 species
UCGGAGACGGUGCUCGUGCGGGGGUGACGCGACGCGCGUAUCCGAAAGACUCUCGGCAACGGAUAUCUCGGCUCUUGCAUCGAUGAAGAACGCAGCGAAUGCGAUACUUGGUGUGAAUUGCAGAAUCCCGUGAACCAUCGAGUCUUUGAACGCAAGUUGCGCCCGAAGCCAUUAGGCUGAGGGCACGCCUGCCUGGGUGUCGCCCAUCGUUGCCCCAGUGCCUUGGCCUCGUGCUAGGCACCGAGCCGGGCGAAUGCUGGCUUCCCGCGAGCAACGCCUCACGGUUGGUUGAAAACUGAGUCCGUGGUGGAGGGUGCCGUGACGGAUGGUGGUUGAG